CUCCCAAGUAGCUGGGACUAUAGGUACAAGCCACCAAGCCAGGUAAAGUUCUCUUUAUUUUUUGUAAAUAUGGAGUCUCACUUUCACAUGGGCUGGCUAAUCUUGUAUUCAUUAAAUCCAACUAAACCAUGGGGCAUAUUUCUGUAUUAUUAUACUACAAUCAGUGCAUCUAAUUUUAUCAAGACCUUUAAAAGUUCAUUCAUAAUUGACAUUGGCCUAUGGGGUAAUUUUUUAUACUACCAAUUGAAAUUUGAAACAAAAUUAUAAAACUAAAUAUCACUGAUGUAAAAUAUAAAGACAAGGCAUAAAAUAAAAAUUAUAUAUCUGAAUUAUUGGAAGAACUCAGCUAACUUGCUUUGAUUGUAGAACAUGGUGUUAAAACACACUCUUUGAAAUGAUCCCAGACAACAUCAAGUUCCCAUCUACCCCAACCAGUGUGUAAAUUUAGACAAAUCACAUACAUAACCUCUCUGUGCUUAAGUCCUCCUUAUCUUUAUAAUGGUAGUGCCUGUCUCACAGAUUCAGGGGGAAUAAAGAAGUUACCGCAUGUCUGUUCUUCACAGCAAGGAUUAAUACGUUGCAAGUACACUUUAAAGAGUAUGCAUUCACGUAUCGGCAAACUCUUAAUAAUAGGAAAAAACUUUAAGGAAAUAUUUCCAAAUGGAGAAAUCGGAUUUCAGUGGACAUUGUAAAUGUAGCCCAUGCCUCAUAUUCCUAUGCAGGAUCCUCUGGCUCUGAAGAUGAAUAUUGGUCUGUGGGAACCGACAGAAUGGCUGCCUUAGAUUUGUCUACAGUAAUGACCUUCUUAUCACAGACUGCACUUGGAAUCCUGGGGAACUUCUCCCUUCUUUACCAUCUUCUCUUCCUUUACUGCACUGGGUACAGAUUAAGGUCCACAGAUUUGAUUCUCAUACACCUGGUUGUAGGCAACUCCUUAUUUCUCCUCUUUAGAGGAGUUCCUCAGACAAUGCACGCUUUAGGGUUUAGACAUGUCCUCAAUGACUUUGGAUGCAAACUUGUUUUCUAUCUUCACAGAGUGGGCAGGGGUGUGUCCACUGGCAACACCUGCCUCUUGAGUGUCAUCCAGGCCAUCACAAUCAGCCCUACGAACUCCAGGUGGUGGGCAGAGCUUAAAUGGAAAGCUCCCAAGUAUAUUGGUACCUCCAUAUUGCUAUGUUGGAUUCUCCACAUUCUGGCACAAGCAGCGUGUCCAACACAUCCACAGGACUAAUGUCUCCCUCAGAUCCUCCCCUGAGUCCAGAGCUACAAAAACCAUCCUUCUUCUGCAACCCCCGGCCAGCCUGAUUUGUAUAUACUGACCAUCUGAGUGGCAGCCCUGCCAAAAGCGAGUUUAUGGGAUUCAGACUUAGUUCUGGAAGCAAAGUCUCCCAUGGAGGGAGCAGAAAAUGCUGAGUUCUGACACAUGAGGGACUGGCAGUGAAUCACUGUGCCUCACUGAAUGCUCUGCUUCCCCGAGAAGUUUCUCUACCCAAAGGCCAUCAUAAUCAGCCCCAGGAACUCCAGAUGGGCAGGGCUUAAAGGAAAACUCUGGGAACAUUGGCCCCUGCAAUAAGGUGCUAGAUCCUGUACAUGCUGGUAAAUAUCAAAGUUCCUAUGCAUGUGAUUCGAAGGUGAAGUAAUGAAAACAUCAUAACUGUAGACUUUGGAUACUUUUCCUUUAGCCAUAUAGGUGGAAGCACAGACUUACCAUAUGCAAUAUUUAUAUCCACUCCUGAUUCUUUGUGUUUGGGCCUCAUGACCUGGGUGAGUGGCUCAAUGGUUUCCAUCCUGCACUGGCACAAGCAGAGGGUCCAACACAUCCUAGGAGCACCCAGAUCCUCCGGUGAGAUUAGAGCCACCCACAGCAUCCUCAUCCUGAUUGAUGUACUCAUGCCUCCCAGAUUCUCAAGCACAUUUGUAAGCCAGUCUCACUGCAAAUAGAGUUGUGAGUUAGAUACUUUGGUGUAAUAUUAAAGAAAAAAAAAUAACAGCAAUUGUAAAUAAAAUCUUAUGUAAUUUUUACAAGUACUCUUAUAUUAAUAAGUGUAUUUAUUAAGGGUCAUUGUGGAGAAAAUCAAAGUCCAAUCAGUAAGUUGUGAAUAAUGCAGAGAUCCUAUAAAAGUCUUCAGUUUUUAUUUUUUCAUAUAAAAUAUUAAAAUUUCCUAAGAUUUAACUGGACACAAGGUUUUAAGGACAUUUCAAUACAAGUUACCUAGCAUUUCAGAUGGUCUUUCAUGAAACUGGAAAUGGACUAUAUGGUGCCCUGGUGGUGACACCAGCAGUAAAAGUAAGGUUUAUUUAUUACAAAUAUUUGGGGCUGGGUUGUUAAUCUGAGAUAUACCUCACCUCCUAGGAGAAAUGUGAUCAUCUCAGACAUGAUAACGCUUACAAAGAAAGAUUAGUGUAUUUUCAGUUCAAUACUGAGACUGUGAACUGCAGGAGACAAAGGAGAACACAGGAAAUAUGUCAGAUGAUAUUUAAAAAGAAUGCAGGUGGGAAUCAAACAUAAAAUAGACAUUUCCUUUCUGAGAUCAAAUUGAAUGGUUUCUGGUAAUGUUUAGAAAGUAGUUGCUCUCUUUAAGCCUCAAUGUCAAUUGUCUUGGUGACAACAAACAGACUUCAGUGUAGUCUUCUGCAUGUCCAAUUUUAAGAAGAAAUGUUAUGGAAGAAUCUUUUACUAAACUUAGAGCCAUAGAGUAGUAGCAAUUAGCUGGCCAAAGACAUGAAUUUAUUGUUUAUUGAGGAGUUUUAUUGCUUUCGAAAUCACCAAAGGAGCCCAAUGGACAUGUUCGAAUGAAAAAAAAAAAAGCUCAUAUUAACUCAAACAUAGUAAACCAUUUCAGGUAACACUAUGUAAUUAAAUUAUAAAUAGUUGCAAUUAUUAAAGCAAAUUUUUAUUUUGAAAUAUAAUUUUAUGUACCCAAAUUUAUUAAACUUAAGAUUACAUUACUGUAUUUACCCGAAAAUAAGACCUACCCAUAAAACAAGCCCUAGCAGGACUUCUAAGCAUUUGGGCAACAUAAACCCUAAA